ensembl:lncRNA
AUGAGAUUACUCAGUAGAGGACGGACUUGGGAAGGAGGAGGCACAGGAGAAGGCUAUGAUCAGAGGGCAGGAGAUGGCAGUACCAGUAAGAAGGCGGCUAUAGUAACCCAGAAGGCCCAGCUGUGCAGCUGGAGUAAGAUGCCAGAGCCUGAUCGCCUUUCCAUCAGCAACUCUGAGGAUGAAGCCUAACACACAGCCGACAGUACGAUGAAUUAUUAACUUUGAGCCUCCACGAUCUCUCUGUUGCUUGAACGGGUCAUCUCUCUGGCUGUAAUUCAACCUACUUCCUCCUUUCCCACUUCCCAACAGACAACCAGGAAGGAGGCCCAACUCCGGGAAGACAUUCUAGUCCAGUAGCCGGGGGUUGUGAGCCGUGAAUGUCUGGAUGCUGUUUGAAUUUAACUGUUUUGAAUGAAUAAAGUCUAAGUCAGCAUUGACAGCAGUGAUUUAUCUGCACUUCACAAUUAUUGAAUUUAGAUGCUCCAUUCACUGGGUGAUUUAUUAAACUGCUCUCCCCUCCAAGGGAGAAUCAAAGCGCCUCCUUGGGCCCUAAUGGAUAGACACUUUGGAGGCACUUAGGGAAGCCAUUGUUGAUAAGACUUACUACCUAAAAGAGCACCCUGGCUCAUGUUGUCUCUGCACGGAAAUAACCUCCAUUAUUUGUGUUUCCUUCACAG